CCUACGGGAGGCAGCAGUGAGGAAUAUUGGUCAAUGGACGAGAGUCUGAACCAGCCAAGUAGCGUGAAGGAUGACUGCCCUAUGGGUUGUAAACUUCUUUUAUAUGGGAAUAAAACGUUCCCCGUGUGGGAUUUUGUAUGUACCAUAUGAAUAAGGAUCGGCUAACUCCGUGCCAGCAGCCGCGGUAAUACGGAGGAUCCGAGCGUUAUCCGGAUUUAUUGGGUUUAAAGGGAGCGUAGGUGGAUUGUUAAGUCAGUUGUGAAAGUUUGCGGCUCAACCGUAAAAUUGCAGUUGAAACUGGCAGUCUUGAGUACAGUAGAGGUGGGCGGAAUUCGUGGUGUAGCGGUGAAAUGCUUAGAUAUCACGAAGAACUCCGAUUGCGAAGGCAGUUCACUGGACUGCAACUGACACUGAGGCUCGAAAGUGUGGGUAUCAAACAGGAUUAGAUACCCCUGUAGUC
rnacentral:rRNA from 1 species